GAAUAUGCCCCCUAGAGUUGUGC
rnacentral:miRNA from 1 species